rfam:Orchesella cincta Ocin01_Sc0599, whole genome shotgun sequence.
CACGUUUUUAUGAAGUUAUCUGUGUAAAUGGGUUUGCCAUGACGGAUAGCGGAUGCCUUUUAAAUGUG